GGGUGUAUUAUACGGCAUGUGAUUACAGUCUAAUAAAUAGUAUGUCCUGCUGUAUCCUUUAGGGACUCUGAGAAAUGGAGAGAGCUCCAUUUGAAGCCAGACUGAUUGGGUUCCGAUCCUGCUUCCAUUUUCCCCGCAGGUAACUCCUUCCUUAACAGCAUCACGGGGUGAUACUCCCUCUCCGGAAAGGUCAUUGUAAUUUUUAAAAACAUUAAAAACAUACACCAGGGUUAAUCAUGUGCAGUGUGUGAUACACAGACGCUCUGAAACACUACUGUACACACACACACACACACACACACACACACGCACAUGGCGCCUCUGGGGAGGUUCUGAAAGAACCAGAUCUGGAGGACUGAUCGUGUCCCUGGUCUCGGCCCUCGCCCUCCUUGUUUCUUAGACUCUAAAGCAAGCAGGCAGCAAUGCAGUCCUUGAAAUCCAGAGUCAAGAAAAAGCCCUGCACCCCUUGGUCCGAGAGCCGCAAGGAGCGGGGCCUAAGCGCCUGGCGAGGCCGCCCUACCCAGCAGAGGCAGUUGCUGUGUAACUCGGGGACCAGACACCCAGCCUCACCCGCUGCCGUUAACCGACAGCCGCAACGGUUCCCGCCCCGCCCAGGUCGGAGAACAAUGCUGCACCCUGCCCGUAGAGCCUCGCGGUGCCGCGCCCUGGAGCGGGCCUGCCGGGAAAUGUAGUUUCUAAAGCCCCGCCCUUGCCGCCCCGUGGCUCGCAGGCCGGGAGCUCCAAGCAACUACAAGUUCCAUCACGCUCUGCGAGGCCUUGAUCUCCAGGCUUUUGCAGGGAAGGGAGUGGGGCGAACAUGGCUGAAGGAAGCCGAGGUGUACCAACGUGUAGCCGGGUGGCUGGCAGGCAGGACUCAGUUUCCGGCAGUGGCGGCUGCAACUUUCCAGAGUAUGAGCUUCCCGAACUAAAUACGCGCGCUUUCCAUGUGGGCGCCUUUGGGGAGCUGUGGCGGGGCCGUCUGCGCGGGGCCGGGGACUUGUCGCUGAGGGAGCCGCCGGCGUCCGCUCUGCCUGGGAGCCGGGGGAUUGCGGACUCCGACCGGGAGGAUGCCGCGGUGGCCAGGGAUCUGGACUGCAGCCUGGAGGCGGCGGCUGAACUGAGGGCGGUGUGCGGCCUUGAUAAACUGAAAUGCCUUGAGGACGGUGAGGAUCCAGAAGUCAUUCCGGAGAAUACUGACCUGGUGACUUUGGGGGUUAGAAAAAGGUUCUUGGAACAUCGGGAAGAAACCAUUACAAUAGAUCGAGCCUGCAGACAAGAAACAUUCGUUUAUGAGAUGGAGUCACAUGCCAUAGGAAAAAAGCCUGAAAAUUCAGCAGACAUGAUUGAAGAAGGGGAGCUUAUCCUAUCUGUGAAUAUCCUGUACCCUGUUAUAUUUCAUAAGCACAAAGAACACAAACCAUACCAAACAAUGCUGGUGUUGGGCAGUCAAAAGCUCACAGAACUGAGGGAUUCAAUUCGCUGUGUCAGUGACCUCCAGAUUGGUGGUGAAUUCAGCAACACUCCUGACCAAGCCCCUGAGCACAUCAGCAAAGACCUAUACAAAUCAGCCUUCUUUUAUUUUGAAGGAACAUUUUAUAAUGAUAAAAGAUACCCAGAAUGCAGAGAUUUGAGCAGAACUAUCAUUGAGUGGUCAGAGUCCCAUGAUAGAGGAUAUGGAAAGUUUCAGACUGCUAGAAUGGAAGAUUUCACCUUCAAUGACUUGUGUAUUAAACUGGGUUUUCCUUACUUAUACUGUCAUCAGGGAGACUGUGAACAUGUCAUUGUCAUUACUGACAUAAGGCUUGUGCAUCAUGAUGACUGCUUGGAUAGGACACUGUAUCCCCUCCUUAUCAAGAAGCAUUGGCUAUGGACCAGAAAAUGUUUUGUUUGUAAAAUGUAUACAGCUAGAUGGGUGACGAACAAUGACAGUUUUGCACCAGAGGACCCAUGUUUCUUUUGUGAUGUUUGCUUCCGAAUGCUCCACUAUGAUUCAGAAGGCAACAAACUGGGGGAAUUCCUUGCUUAUCCUUAUGUUGAUCCUGGAACCUUUAAUUAAGAAUAGCUACACUCACGAAAGUACCCCCUCAUGAAAUAACUGUUCUCUUGGAUGGUUACCUUUUUUCUAAGAAACGCCACUGAGGAACAGGAUCCACUUUGAACAGUCUGCUAAAGCUACCAAAAAAAAUUCCAAAUCACAGAUUUUCUUAUAAUGAUUGUAUUUAAAUGUUUAUAACAUAGUUAAAUUUCAUAUUUAUUCCAAAGAGUAUUUAAUUUAGUGCUUUUUACCCAUUGAGUUGUAGUACUUUAUAUAUUCUGACUUUAAAUCCUUUGUCAGACACACAUAUUCUUUCUCCCAAUCCAUGCCUUCCCUAUUCAUUCUCUGUCCAGAGUGUUUUUUUGCUAAAGAUAGAAUUAAUGAUACAUCAAGUAGUGGAAGUGUUUUGAAAAUGCUUUGAAGAAUGUGAGAGCUACACCUUCUACCAUGAGGCUUCCAAGGUUGUAUUUAAAUUUGACUGAAAAAUGGAUGGCUAAGAACAGACAUUUAUAUAAAUGGAAAACUGACGAAACCUAUAAGCCUAUGUGUUUAAAAGAUUGACAGUGAAGUAUGUUUUAUGGACUUAAAUGCCACAAACAGUUAAGUCCGUUGGCUUGGAGAGGACAAACACGUGCUUCUGGUAUGUCUAGUGUUCUCAUUCACUGAUUCAGUCAGUAUGCAGAUAAUCAGUAUAGAGAACUCAGAGGCUGGCUUAUGUUAUACCUAAAUUUUUACUUUCUUGUAUACAACAAUGCUAAAAUUGAGCAGAUUGAUAACAGCCAGCAAACCAUAGAUUUAAGUUAAAUGAUUUACCCAACCCUAAAAUUCCAUGGGUAAAAAUUUUGAUUCCUUUAUUUGUAAUACUGCAUUCCUUAUAGGUCUUACAUGCAUAUGCAAGGAUAUUUUAUUCAUUUUCACUUCAUACUCUCAAACUUCAAAAAGUUAAGUAUUGUCAUAAUGCAUUAUUCCGUGUGUGGUGUCAAUUCAUUUUAGUGGACAAAGAAGAAACAUGCCAGUUAAAACAUUUCUGCUACUGGCAUUCUAUUAUUUGAGAAUGUUUUUCUGCUAGUUCUUAAGGUUAACCUUUUCAUCAAAGACUCAGGUACCUAUUUUUGUUUCCUGGUGAAACUGAGGAGAAAAGUUAACCAGGUUACUCCCAGUUUGCCCAUGUGUUAUGUAUCAGUUAUACAGGUAUCCAACCAAGUUCAAGUCAAAAGAAAUUGCUAACUUUGUAUAUUUCUGGAGCUAUAAAACCCCUGAUUUAAGACAGCUUUUCUCUUUUUUCAAGACAGCUUUUCUUUAUGCUUAUUUCAAUCAAAAUAACACACCUGUCAAAUUACAUGUAACACAUUAUCUAAUGAAGACAGGCAAAUGUGAAAAUGUUGUCAUGAACAUGUCAAUCAACGUGCUUGGUAGUUGAAUUUGACUUUUAUAUAACAGUGGAUGCACAUGCACAAAAGUCACCAGAGAAGCAAUAGCUAUUUCUUUAAACGUUCUUCAGGCCUCAGUACCGUUUAAGGAUAAUUAGACAUUUUAGUUUUACUAGGACAAAGGUCAUCUCUAACAUUGUGUUGCAGAAUUACACAGCCCAAACACACACAUUUCUGCCUAUUAAACCAGCUUCUUUGUUUCUAAAGAGUUUAAUGAUACGGGUUUGCUAUUUCCAUUAGAGCAUCCUUUCUCUGGCCAAUCGGACAAAAUAAAGUUAGCGAAGCCCUCACAGCACCCUAUGAAAAAUCUUUGCUCUUAUACAGGAUUAGAUGCAGACCUCAUCUUGACCUGACAUCUGUAACCAGGUGAGAAGAAAACAUCAGAAGCAGUUGAGCAACCAGGAAGUGGGUCCUCUAGGGAUGAGGAGGCAUUGUGAUGGAUGGCUUUUUAAAAAUGUUUAUCCAGAGUCAUCUGCCUCAUGAACAAUGGUUUCUGCCUUAGAAGUCUAGUAGAAAUUGACAUGAAUUUUUUGUUCUGAAUGUACACUGCUCUAGUCCUUCAAUAAGCCCAUCACAUUUUCACCAUUUUGCCUAUGUAUACUUUUUCUGUGGUGGUAACACUGAAACUAUGCAUCAAAGCCAUUUUUAAGAGCAGUCCUGGCAAAUGGUUCAAAAAACUGGCGUGAAAUUCUUGGCUUUUUAUCACAUACCUGUUUGUUCCUUUUCUAGCUUUUUGUUUGGCCCUUUCUUCCCUUGAUCUUUGGUUUUAUUCGCUUCCUCAUGCUGUCUUUGUUCAGCAAGAGAUUUAUUCAGCACUUGUGUGAUCACGGAAUCU